ensembl:lncRNA
GUGUAAUUACCAGUCUUGCCUCCCCACAAAGUCUGUAGGUUUGUGCUGUGUUUGUAUGUGUGAUCUGAGCGCCAUCCGGUGGACAGACGACAUUUUUAUUUGAUACUCGCGCCAUUUUUGCGUUGAGUAUGGGCGCAACCAAGUGCAUAAUUGGAGGGGGGCACUCACCCAUUUUCCUUAACAAACGGAAAUAUAUUAAAAACGAGUAGACGUAAAUAAAUAGAAUAGAUGAAAAGACAGAUCAGUUUGCAAGGUUCAUUAAAGGGGGACAUAUAGAAAACAUUUUCUACUGUAUAUUGGGAGGGAAAGAUUGGUAUCACCUCAACAUUGGCGGGGACACGCCCCCCCAAAAGAAUACGUGGUUACGCCCAUAGUUGUAGGAGACACAGCAGCGACGGAGUCGGAGUAGGAGACACAUUUUUCCUCAGGAGUCACGACACAGCAGACACGGGGUUUUCUUUCUUCAAUUUUAACUUUUCUCAGGAGUUUAAGGCCGACGUUUCUGCAGACAUCAUGGCUGGAAAUGCACAGCAGGGCAACCAACAGGCUGUACCACAAGACGUGGUGGCGAGACGAGCGUCCCUGCAGACUUUAAUUGAUGAUGCAUUGCAGGAGCUUCAGAACGUUGUCCAACUGUUGAUGUGGAAGUCACACUUAGGGAAGUUAAGGUGGGCAUCCUGACUGUGAGUGAUGAUACCAGACAUGAUGGUUUCGUCCCAGCUGAUGUCCUGAAUGUUGCUGUGAUACUGGAAGGGGAGAUGUUCCUAAUGCUCUUGCUAUACUGCUUGGACUACUCUAUGUUCUGAACAUUAACUAUCCCAAAGAACUAUGAUAUACCUUUUGAGGUACUUCAGAGAAUUUUCAUGAAAAUUGGCGAGCUGCACAGCAAGAGUUCACAAUCUAAAAAAUAAAUUAAUGCAGUGAUGUAAAAAUGGUG